AACGAACGCUGGCGGCAUGCCUAACACAUGCAAGUCGAACGAAGGCUUCGGCCUUAGUGGCGCACGGGUGCGUAACGCGUGGGAAUCUGCCCCUCGGUUCGGAAUAACAGUUAGAAAUGACUGCUAAUACCGGAUGAUGACUUCGGUCCAAAGAUUUAUCGCCGAGGGAUGAGCCCGCGUAAGAUUAGGUAGUUGGUGGGGUAAAGGCCUACCAAGCCGACGAUCUUUAGCUGGUCUGAGAGGAUGAUCAGCCACGCUGGGACUGAGACACGGCCCAGACUCCUACGGGAGGCAGCAGUGGGGAAUAUUGGACAAUGGGCGAAAGCCUGAUCCAGCGAUGCCGCGUGAGUGAUGAAGGCCUUAGGGUUGUAAAGCUCUUUUACCAGGGAUGAUAAUGACAGUACCUGGAGAAUAAGCUCCGGCUAACUCCGUGCCAGCAGCCGCCGUAA
rnacentral:rRNA from 1 species